UCUCAGUGCUCUCUUGUACUCCCAUGAAGGUUCCAGUUCCUCCCAAUAAAGGAUCCUGUGAGCUCUGAUGUCUCAGCGUCUGAGUAACUCACUGUUAUCUGCAGAUGUUCAUAUCUGUUCACAGCCCUCUGUAUGCAGGUGUUCACAUCUGUUCACAGCCCUCUGUAUGCAGGUGUCCCAUCUGUUCACAGCCCUCUGUAUGCAGGUGUCCCAUCUGUUCACAGCCCUCUGUAGGCAGGUGUCCCUAUCUGUUCACAGCCCUCUGUAUGCAGGUGUCCCAUCUGUUCACAGCCCUCUGUAUGCAGGUGUCCCAUCUGUUCACAGCCCUCUGUAUGCAGGUGUCCCCAUCUGUUCACAGCCCUCUGUAUGCAGGUGUCCCCAUCUGUUCACAGCCCUCUGUAUGCAGGUGUCCUCCUCUGUUCACAGCCCUCUGUAUGCAGGUGUCCCCAUCUGUUC